GGAGGUGUGGCUCAGUAGUAGAGUACUGGCCUAGCAUGCCUGAGGCCCUGGGUUCAAUCUCCAGUAUCACAA
rnacentral:tRNA from 1 species